UACGAAGGUGGCAAGCGUUGUUCGGAAUCACUGGGCAUAAAGCGCACGUAGGCGGCCUGGUCAGUCGGAUGUGAAAUCCCUCAGCUCAACUGAGGAACGGCGUCCGAUACUGCCAGGCUUGAGGUCUGGAGGGGGAACGGAAUUCCUGGUGGAGCGGUGAAAUGCGUAGAGAUCAGGAGGAACGCCGGCGGCGAAAGCGGUUCCCUGGACAGAUCCUGACGCUGAGGUGCGAAAGCUAGGGGAGC
rnacentral:rRNA from 1 species